rnacentral:lncRNA from 1 species
GGACAAGGUUCUUGGCGGUGAGGACAAGGUUACUGGCGGAGAGGACAAGGUUCCUGGCGGUGAGGACAAGGUUCCUGGCGGUGAGGACAAGGUUACUGGCGGUGAGGACAAGGUUGCUGGCGGUGAGGACAAUGUUCCUGGCCGUGAGGACAAGGUUGCUGGCGGUGAGGACAAGGUUACUAGCGGUGAGGACAAGGUUCCUGGCGGUGAGCACAAGGUUCCUGGCGGUGAGGACAAGGUUCCUGGCAGUGAGGACAAGGAUACUAGCGGUGAGGACAAGAUUCCUGGCGGUGAGGACAAGCGGUUCCUGGCGGUGAGGGCAAGGUUCCUGGCGGUAAGGAGAAGGCUCCUGGCGGUAAGGACAUUGUUCCUGGCGGUGAGGACAAGGUUCCUGGCGGUGAGCACAAGGUUCCUGGCGGUGAGGACAAGGUUCCUGGCGGUGAGGACAAGGUUCCUGGCGGUGAGGACAAGGUUCCUGGCAGCGAGAACAAGGUUCCUGGCGGCGAGAACAAGGUUCCUGGCGGUGAGGACAAGGUUACUAGCGGUGAGGACAAGGUUCCUGGCGUGAGGACAAAGUUCCUGGCGGUGAGGACAAGGUUCCUGGCGGUGAGGACAAGGUUCCUGGCGGUGAUGACAAGGUUCCUCGCGGUGAGGACAAGGUUACAGGCGGUGAGGACAAGGUUCCUGGCAGUGAGGACAAAGUUCCUGGCGGUGAGGACGAGGCUCCUGGCGGUAAGGACAUUGUUCCUGGCGGUGAGGACAAGGUUCCUGGCGGUGAGCACAAGGUUCCUGGCAGUGAGGACAAGGUUCCUGGCGGUGAGGACAAAGUUCCUGGCGGUGAGGACGUGGUUCCUGGCGGUGAGGACGAGGUCCCUGGCGGUGAUGACGAUGUUCCUGGCGGUGAGGACAAGGUUGCUGGCAGUGAGGAUAAGGUUCCUGGCGGUGAGGACA